rnacentral:rRNA from 1 species
AGUGAACGCUGGCGGUAGGCCUAACACAUGCAAGUCGAACGGCAGCACAGUAAGAGCUUGCUCUUACGGGUGGCGAGUGGCGGACGGGUGAGGAAUACAUCGGAAUCUACUUUUUCGUGGGGGAUAACGUAGGGAAACUUACGCUAAUACCGCAUACGACCUACGGGUGAAAGCAGGGGAUCUUCGGACCUUGCGCGAUUGAAUGAGCCGAUGUCGGAUUAGCUAGUUGGCGGGGUAAAGGCCCACCAAGGCGACGAUCCGUAGCUGGUCUGAGAGGAUGAUCAGCCACACUGGAACUGAGACACGGUCCAGACUCCUACGGGAGGCAGCAGUGGGGAAUAUUGGACAAUGGGCGCAAGCCUGAUCCAGCCAUACCGCGUGGGUGAAGAAGGCCUUCGGGUCGUAAAGCCCUUUUGUUUGGAAAGAAAAGCAGCAGGUUAAUACCCCGCUGUUCUGACGGUACCCAAAGAAUAAGCACCGGCUAACUUCGUG